CAGAUAAGAGCUCCCUUGCAGAAUGGCAGAGAGAUUAUAACCUAAGUGAAGGGCUUCGUAGAGGAUCUGGCACACAGGAGAAGGUUCUGAAACCAGAAGCCUCUUUCUUCUUGGUCAGGAGGUGAAGGGCAUGGUGGGCUGUUGGUCUAACCAGAGCAUAUACCAGCCUUGCUCAGGGGAAGUUCUCUUCCAAACUUCACAUUCGGUUAAAUGCCUCACAGGAUCACUGGGAGGUCCACUAAGCUUUGGAGGCUGUGAAGCCUGAGCCUGAGGGCCUGCAUCUAGAGAGGGCCUUCUUGCAGCAGUAUGACAUGGCAGAAGGGGCUCCGGUGGUCAGAGGAAUGAAAAAGCAGGACCAGCCUGGUCUAUCCCCACUUCAAACUCCAUCCCUGUUAUGAAGGAGAAAAGAAGAAUGUCCACCAGAUGUGAGGUCGAGCCCUCAGAAGAAAAUAAAAGAAAAGGAUUUUAAUAUCAGAAUUUACCAAAAAUUAAGGAAUCUGCCCAAGAUACUAUUAAGGGAUGGAGAAGUAUGAUCUGAUACUGCAUGGUUGAAGUGGGGGGUGGGAGAAAUAGAAAACUAUUUCACAAAUUUAUACCCCUCAAAAUUCAGACUGUUCAUUAAACCUAUCACGCAAUUCUUAGUUUUUUGUAGUGGGUGGUCCUUUUGAACUGAGUGAAUUGGAUCGAACACAGAUAUAGAGCAGCGGUUCUCAAACUUUGGUGCAUGCCUGAAUCACUCAGAGGACUUGUUAAAACAG